rnacentral:rRNA from 1 species
GCAUAUCAAUAAGCGGAGGAAAAGAAACCAACAGGGAUUGCCCUUAGUAACGGCGAGUGAAGCGGCAACAGCUCAAAUUUGAAAUCUGGCUUUCGGGCCCCGAGUUGUAAUUUGUAGAGGAUACUUUUGAUGCGGUGCCUUCCGAGUUCCCUGGAACGGGACGCCAUAGAGGGUGAGAGCCCCCGUCUGGUUGGAUGCCAAAUCUCUGUAAAGUUCCUUCGACGAGUCGAGUAGUUUGGGAAUGCUGCUCUAAAUGGGAGGUAUAUGUCUUCUAAAGCUAAAUAUUGGCCAGAGACCGAUAGCGCACAAGUAGAGUGAUCGAAAGAUGAAAAGCACUUUGAAAAGAGAGUUAAAAAGUACGUGAAAUUGUUGAAAGGGAAGCGUUUAUGACCAGACUUGGGCUUGGAUAAUCAUCUGGGGUUCUCCCCAGUGCACUUUUCCAGCUCAGGCCAGCAUCAGUUUUCGCCGGGGGAUAAAGGCAGCAGGAAUGUGGCUCUCUUCGGGGAGUGUUAUAGCCUGUUGUGUAAUACCCUGGCGGAGACUGAGGUUCGCGCAUCUGCAAGGAUGCUGGCGUAAUGGUCAUCAACGACCCGUCUUGAAACACGGACCAAGGAGUCGUCUUCGUAUGCGAGUGUUCGGGUGUCAAACCCCUACGCGUAAUGAAAGUGAACGCAGGUGAGAGCUUCGGCGCAUCAUCGACCGAUCCUGAUGUUCUCGGAUGGAUUUGAGUAAGAGCAUACGGGGCCGGACCCGAAAGAAGGUGAACUAUGCCUGUAUAGGGUGAAGCCAGAGGAAACUCUGGUGGAGGCUCGCAGCGGUUCUGACGUGCAAAUCGAUCGUCAAAUAUGGGCAUGGGGGGCGAAAGACUAAUCGAACCUUCUAGUAGCUGGUUUCCGCCGA